UACGGGAGGCAGCAGUGGGGAAUAUUGCACAAUGGGGGGAACCCGUGAUGCAGCGACGCCACGUGCGGGAUGGAGGCCUUCGGGUCGUGAACCGCUUUUACAGGGGAGCAAGCUUUCGGGUGAGUUAACUUUGUGAAUAAGCACCGGCUAACUACGUGCCAGCAGCCGCGGUAAU
rnacentral:rRNA from 1 species